AGUUGAAUUGCUGGAGCACAUGGUACAUUUGUCUUUAACUUUGUAAGAAACUGCCAAACUAUUUUCCAAAGUGGCUGCACCAUUUGUCCUUCCCAUUAGCAAU
rnacentral:pre_miRNA from 1 species